rnacentral:rRNA from 1 species
UAUUGGACAAUGGGCGAAAGCCUGAUCCAGCAAUGCCGCGUGAGUGAUGAAGGCCUUAGGGUUGUAAAGCUCUUUUACCAGGGAUGAUAAUGACAGUACCUGGAGAAUAAGCUCCGGCUAACUCCGUGCCAGCAGCCGCGGUAAUACGGAGGGAGCUAGCGUUGUUCGGAAUUACUGGGCGUAAAGAGUACGUAGGCGGUGAUUCAAGUCAGAGGUGAAAGCCUGGAGCUCAACUCCAGAACUGCCUUUGAAACUAGAUCGCUAGAAUCAUGGAGAGGUUAGUGGAAUUCCGAGUGUAGAGGUGAAAUUCGUAGAUAUUCGGAAGAACACCAGUGGCGAAGGCGACUAACUGGACAUGUAUGACGCUGAGGUACGAAA